AAGUCCUACCAGAACUUCAAGCAGUAAACAAAAACGUCCUGGAAGAGCACUUGCAGUCCAUUGGAGUCGAGAUGGAUGAUGAUCUACGCUCCGUAAUGGAGGCUGAUUUGAUUUGCAUUAAGACCUGUACAAACCAGAAAGCUUCUUUCUACUUGGAAACAGAAAUACCAAACUCCCGAGAACAGCUCCCUAUCAUCUGUGGAAGCCUCACCUACCCAAUCGCUGUCAUCGCUCUGUUUCACUCCGAAGUCUAUCGUCAACCUCCUCCAGCAGCCCAGGACGUGACACACAUUGGGAUGACAACUUUGAAAUUCCAUGGAGUAAACUUCCUGCGGAAGUGAUGCAUUCUCUUGAGAGGGGGAAAAGACCUGGUCCAAAACUGAGGAGGCAAAUGGUCCGGAUUGUUGUGACUGAGAUGAUGGAAAAAUGCCCUCAUGUACAGUUUCAGAACAGAAUUGAAAAUGUGAGGCGCACUUCAACACCCAAAAUAAGAAAAAGAAAACAUCAGACUGACUCAGACCACACAGACGAGAUCCCAUUAGAAGAAAGAGCAGCAAUGCAGGACACAUACGGGUGAGAGAGAUGGAGAAUGCCGCUUCUUUCAAAAAGAUUUAUGACCCAAAGGUCUAAAAGGUCACGGGUCAAAAAUUCACUGGAUUGGCGGGUCUGGGGCGUGA